rnacentral:tRNA from 1 species
GCCUGGCUGGCUUAGUUGGUAAAGUAUGUGACUCUUGAUCUCGGGGUUGUGAGUUCAAAACCCCACUUUGGGUG